rnacentral:rRNA from 1 species
UAGUCCACGCCGUAAACGAUGGUCACUAGCUGUUGGAUUUUCGGAUUCAGUGGCUAAGCGAAAGUGAUAAGUGACCCACCUGGGGAGUACGUUCGCAAGAAUGAAACUCAAAGGAAUUGACGGGGGCCCGCACAAGCGGUGGAGCAUGUGGUUUAAUUCGAUGAUACGCGAGGAACCUUACCAGGGCUUAAAUGUAAGUUGCAUUAUUUAGAGAUAGAUAUUUCUUCGGACUACUUACAAGGUGCUGCAUGGUUGUCGUCAGCUCGUGCCGUGAGGUGUCAGGUUAAGUCCUAUAACGAGCGCAACCCCUGUUGUUAGUUGCCAGCAUGUAAAGAUGGGAACUCUAGCAAGACUGCCGGUGCAAACCGUGAGGAAGGUGGGGAUGACGUCAAAUCAUCACGGCCCUUACGUCCUGGGCUACACACGUGCUACAAUGGUAGGUACAAUGAGCAGCCACUACGCGAGUAGGCGCUAAUCUUCAAAACCUAUCUCAGUUCGGAUUGG